GUGGCGUGAUGCUGACGCAGCCCACUGACAAGCCAGCGAGAGGCCCAGGGGAGCAGCUCUGAGCCGAGCAGCCAGAGCCAGGCAGGACUGCAAUCAUGGUUUCUUCAGAUGCACACUUAAGGAAAACUUCUCAACUCUUCUCCAAGAAUCCCCUGCCUCCAUCCCUAGAGAAUCAUGGCUUCAAAAUGAAACAUAAAACAAAGUUUUGAGCUGACUUUGGUCGAAAUCUCAAAUACUAUAAGACAGAAACUGUACAGUACUGUCUGCAGGUGGACCACAUUGUAGGGGAAAUAACGUGAUUCAAGCCAGCCACCUGCCCCUGCUUUCCAGGAUUCUACCACUCAGCUCUGAUCAAGCUAGCAUCCCUCCUCCUGUCACCAGCAAAGCCCAUGAAACAUUUCCAAGAAUUAAAAAUAGAAUCUGGGUAAUAAAAUAAAGUCUAACCUUUUUUCCCUUUGUGCUUGGACAAAGGAAAUAGUUUCAUUUGCUCAUAGUGGGGCAUGUGCAGAGGCCUCACACUGGCCAUUCAGACCAGUUCCUAGAGCAAAAUGGCCAUGCCCACACCUCGGCUCAGGGCAUGUGCAGGAGCGCUGUGAAUGGCACUGCAGUUCAAGUUGGUGGCAGCAGGCUGUGUGCACAGAGCCGCUGCUCUGGCACUGUGACCCAAAGCCCUGAGCAGCAUGCCUGCGCCGGACUCACGAAAGCUCCGCCCCCUUUCCUCCAUAGUAAGACUUCAAUAAAGCAGCCCUGCUAAUGGCUUGUUGGGGGGAACGUGUGCUAAAGAGCAAGGUUCCCCAGCUUCUGGGAUCUAAUGCCCGAUAAUCUCGUGGAGCUGAAAUAAUAAUAAUAGAAAUAAAGGGUAUAAUAAAUG
rnacentral:lncRNA from 1 species